rnacentral:rRNA from 1 species
CCUACGGGUGGCAGCAGUGGGGAAUAUUGGACAAUGGGGGGAACCCUGAUCCAGCCAUGCCGCGUGUGUGAAGAAGGCCCUCGGGUUGUAAAGCACUUUCAGUGAGGAAGAACGCCUGGUGGUUAAUACCCAUCAGGAAAGACAUCACUCACAGAAGAAGCACCGGCUAACUCCGUGCCAGCAGCCGCGGUAAUACGGAGGGUGCGAGCGUUAAUCGGAAUUACUGGGCGUAAAGCGCGCGUAGGUGGCUUGAUAAGCCGGUUGUGAAAGCCCCGGGCUCAACCUGGGAACGGCAUCCGGAACUGUCAAGCUAGAGUGCAGGAGAGGAAGGUAGAAUUCCCGGUGUAGCGGUGAAAUGCGUAGAGAUCGGGAGGAAUACCAGUGGCGAAGGCGGCCUUCUGGACUGACACUGACACUGAGGUGCGAAAGCGUGGGUAGCAAACAGGAUUAGAUACCCUAGUAGAC